CACGAAAGGUGCAAGGAAAUGUUUUAGGUUUGUAGUUAAUUAUUCGUGAUUUGGUAAAACUUGUAAUUUGUUAGGUGAAAUUUUAAAUUAUGGCUAAUUCCAAAAUUUUGAUUCAAUGAAGCUGUGAAAAUUAGAAAUAAAACUA
rnacentral:rRNA from 1 species